rnacentral:lncRNA from 1 species
AGCUUGUGUAUUGCUCAUAUGCUAAGAGCAUAGGGAUAUUUUAAACAGGAGUCCUUACGUUAGUGUUCACUACCCGGGACAAAGCUGUUUGGCUUCCUCCACUGAAAUUGCUCCUUAGACCAAGCUAGCCUGUUAGUCCCCUCGAUGGCUUUAAUGCUUAGCCGGGUUCCAGCAAACAUCAGGGCAGGCCCAUUGAGGUUGGGUAAAUGACCAAGCUCUUAUUUUAUCUAUGGAGUAAGUAGAAAUGGGUGGCCAUUUAUAGAGGUUCUCAAUAUCAAUUAACCCUUGGAACUGUAAACAAGUAAAUACCUUAAUGGUAGGAAAUGACUUAGGGAAUUUUUCACAUGAGUUGGCAAGGAAAAUAAAACUUCUGUUUCCUAAGUACUAAAGGCUUAGUACUUAGCAAGAGGAACCCUUAGUCACUAGAACAAGCUAAACUGGGGUCAAUUUAUCUGAAAACAAGGUCAGCAUCAAGCAUAAAUAAGUUCCAGGGAAAGACUAGAAGUCAAUUCAGCACCCGGACAUGCAAAUAGGAAGUGGCAUUGUCCAAAGAGCCUUGCGAACUCCUUCUCCAGGGAGUACAGAAUAGAGGACACAUGGCUCCCCAAAGCCAGUUCUGCCACAGCUCUUCCUCAUAGCAGUGGGAGAUUCCAUGAUCCAUCCGAGGCGAACUAAGACUAAUGGUCUCUAAGAGGAUAAAGGCUAAGAACUUCUGUAUCUGAUACCCAUUGCGCUUUGGAGUUGCUUCUUGCUAUUCCUUUUGGUAAGGAAUCACCCACUGCACUUGAAUAAAGCUGACUUAUGGUUGUCUUGGUAAAGGAGUGAAUGAAAGUGUGGGGAGAGAGGACCUGGUAAAGUGUGGAUUCCAGGACAGACUCUAAGAAACUGAUACAAGAAAGCUGACCUUCCUCUUACUCAUGCCUGAUCUUGGUGUCUCUGCCUAGGAAUGUUUUUGUCUGUCCCUAGCUACAGCACAAGUCAAGAGCCCCAGGAUGCAGCCUGAACCAGCCAUAAGUAGUAUGGAGAUAGAACCUGAUUCCCAAUAUCCUUGGCCAUACUACAUGCACAGUGUCACAGAAAGUGGACCCUUGCAUGGCACCACAGAAGCUACCCAGUUUUUAGAAAACUACCUUUUAUCCUCACAAUGUGGUAAAGUAAAUGUUGCUUGUAUAUUUUUAUAAGAACAGGAAGGUUGCUUUAUGAGUACAGCAUCUCCCUCAUGCUGACUUAGUCAGUUGUCCGAUAAAAUAAGUUAUCCUCCACCUUGUUUAAAUUUAAAUCUUCUGCCCCGAGAGCCUGGUUUGCUCUUGGCCCUAUUUGUAAGGGCAAAGUAAGGACAGCCCUUAUUUUGAGCUUAUCUGUUAGAUAGAAGGUAGACGGAAAUGAUGGAAUGGGGUGAAGGGAAUCCUGUAGAUAGGCUAAGUCCCGUUUGUUGUUAUAUACAUCUUGCUGGUCUGUUGUAAAACUCUGGCCAUUGCCUUUAGUAGAAAACAUCAAUUUAAAAACUAACACAGUGUCUUACCCAACAGAUGGCCAUUGAUCAAUCAGGAACUGUGAGUAUUCUCAAAGAGCAGUUAGAUAAUAAGUAACCAGCUAAACUAUCCUGGCAGCUAUGUCUAUCACCCACUAAUCAGAAUGCCCCAAGUGGGUAACUGUCCUCAGCUGCAGAGGAGUUACUCCAGAUAUAUCACAAACUAAAACAGGAUAUUUUCCUAUACAUGAGCACAGAUAAGGGUCUGCAUCCUCUUCUCCCUCACCCUCUGCCUCAGCCCACACCUUUUGUGCUUUUCUAGAUUAGAAGAAAAAUAAACUUAAAAGGACUAACAGGUACAUUAAGACUCAGAAGGGAAGAGGGUCACAUUACCUCAUGAAUAUGCUACCAAUCCCCAAAACACUCCUAAGGCUUGUUAAAUUUAAUUCCCCAGUGCCACAGGUAUAAUCCUUUCAAAGAUCAUGACAGGGGCUCCUGUUGUCUUAUUUUAAAGACCCUAAUCACUGCAAAGCUAUUUGCUAGGCUCCGGUCCUCAGAGCAGGAGCAGUAGGCAGGGCUAUGUGCAUCAGAGUGACUCCUAAGGCUUCAAGAGAAAUAUAGAUCAUCUACUGACACAUGGCUUUUCUUUUAUACUCAUUUCAAUAUUUUCAAAUAAAAAUUAAAAAGCAAA